rnacentral:rRNA from 1 species
UACGGAGGGUGCGAGCGUUGUCCGGAAUCAUUGGGCGUAAAGGGCGCGUAGGUGGCCCCUCAAGCGUGCGGUGAAAGUCAGGGGCUCAACCCCUGAUCGGCCGUGCGAACUGGGGAGCUUGAGCACUGUAGAGGCAGGCGGAAUUCCGGGUGUAGCGGUGGAAUGCGUAGAGAUCCGGAAGAACACCGGUGGCGAAGGCGGGUCUCUGGGCCGAUACUGACGCUGAGGAGCGAAAGCGUGGGGAGCGAACAGG